AUGAACGCUGGCGGCGUGCCUAAUACAUGCAAGUCGAGCGAACGGACGAGAAGCUUGCUUCUCUGAUGUUAGCGGCGGACGGGUGAGUAACACGUGGAUAACCUACCUAUAAGACUGGGCUAACUUCGGGAAACCGGAGCUAAUACCGGAUAAUAUUUUGAACCGCAUGGUUCAAAAGUAAAAGACGGUCUUGCUGUCACUUAUAGAUGGAUCCGCGCUGCAUUAGCUAGUUGGUAAGGUAACGGCUUACCAAGGCAACGAUGCAUAGCCGACCUGAGAGGGUGAUCAGCCACACUGGAACUGAGACACGGUCCAGACUCCUACGGGAGGCAGCAGUAGGGAAUCUUCCGCAAAGGGCGAAAGCCUGACGGAGCAACGCCGCGUGAGUGAUGAAGGUCUUCGGAUCGUAAAACUCUGUUAUUAGGGAAGAACAUAUGUGUAAGUAACUGUGCACAUCUUGACGGUACCUAAACAGAAAGCCACGGCUAACUACGUG
rnacentral:rRNA from 1 species